GCUGAACUAGGGUAUAUUUGAUGUUCAGCCAAAUUUUGAAUAUAAGUUGUCCAUUUAGCAUCGAGAUACAGAGGUUACAAUUCUUUAUUUGAUUGAUUUGGCUUUGUUUCUAUGGUUAUUUUUAUAUCAAAUAAUAUGGUUAUUAUUACUGAUUUAUAGGGUUAUCCAGAUGUAUGUUUAGGGGACAUCAGUGCUAAUGCACUUUGAUAAUAGACAAUCAGCCUGUUAUUGUGUGUUCACGAACAUUUAUGUCAAUCAUUACAAUGACGUAAAAAUGAGACUUAUACCGGUAGUAUAAGGAGGUGAUUUGAAGAAGUAUCCUGUGACUUUCAAACAGACUUCUGUGAUUCUCUACUGUAACUGUGUAAAGCAGUACUCCCAAAAAUGAAGAAUUUGAUUCAUUUAUGGUUGUGUUGAUAUUGUUCUCUUAAAACUUUCGAAGUAGUUUGUUAAAUAAAUGAAUACUUAC
rnacentral:sRNA from 1 species